rnacentral:lncRNA from 1 species
AAUUAUAAUGGAUUCAAACCACAAGGGAAAUUGAAAUUUAGUGAGAAGUUCACCUACAAUGUUAAAUGCAUCGGGAUUUAGACAAACCCACACACAUACACAGGCACACACCUAUGUAGCAGCGUGCCUGAGAGCUGCUUUUGUCCUGAGAUUACCGGUCCAAAAUUAAAGCCGAAAAAAAUGAGGUUACUGACUGGUGGAAAAUUUCAGGAUCAUUAGUGAUGGUGGUUACCUUUGUACAAAGCUCUUAAAUUAUCUGGACAACGCUCGGGCCCUUACUCUUUGGUUGGAUACCUUUAAGGCAUUCUUCGUCACUGCCAAAUACAAAUCACCACUUCUCUUCCUUGUCCUAACUUUGUUUCAUAAGGUAUCCAUGAACAAUGGAUUAGAGAAUACUCAACACCUGCUUCUAGAGAAAAUGCAGGGUUUGGUUCUUGGGAACCUGUCUGCCUUCACAUUUAAUUCAGUAAUGAUUACAUAACUUUGUUUCUGGCAAAUUUCUAUUUUCACUCAUGGCAAAAUAAAACUCAUGUUUUGCAGUCCUCCUUUGAGUCUAACAUGGAGAUACACACUCGCAGAAGACAGAGAUACUUGAAAAGAGAGGAGGAAGCAGAGAGGAGAAAACUUCCAUUGGUUGAAAGCAAGGCCUGAGGCAGGGGCUACAUGAAGCCAACUACAUACACUGAGAGGUGAAUUUGAUUCCCUCUGAAAAAUAAAGUAGCUGAAAUAUUGUCAUUAGAAAAAGAGGAUAUUAAACUUCUAAAGACUACAUUUGUGUUUUAUGAAAAGCCUUCUGGGAACAUUGUAGGACAGUAGUUCCUUGUGUCAUUCGCAUGAAAACUUAGAAAUCAAAAAUGUAUUAUUGUAAUUAAUAUUGUUAUCAUUAUUAUUAAUCUUUCCUUAAGCUGUGAAAUCCUUCUACAAAUAUUUGAAGUAGUUGGAGUUUGCAAAAUUGACAGCUGUGUCAAUGAAGUGAAAAAGAAAGAAUGAAAAUUAUUCUCAUUGGUUCUAAAUAAAAAAUUCCUAGGUAAAACAAUGGGAAGUCUACGAAUACCUGGGGACACUUGGGUCAUGUGCUCAGAGUCAGUGCAGUGAUGCCCCUCGAGUUUACACUUGACCCACAGACUAUAUUGGAACAUACAGGCUUUGCAAGAGCAGAGAAGGGAGGAAUAUGGGAGAGUCCCUAACUGCAAUAUUGUGCCAGAAUAGCAGAGAUCUGGCAGAGGGCAAGCCACUGGGAUAUCUUUACACCACCACGAACGCAGGUGUUCUACAGUGUUUGGGAGGUGAAGGGGUAUAAAAGAGGUUUUACCAUAUUUUUUCUGAAGUACAUCUGUAAAAUAAAAAGAAAAUGCAAUGUAAAUUUCAUUGGCAUGAAACACGAAUGAAAUUCAGAUUCACUGAAAAAUUUGUAUGCAAAAUUAAAUUGCCAAGAUGCAGACAAGUAUAAAACACAGACACAGACAAAUAAACAUAUGCAAGCCAACAUGCAAACUGUUUCUGAAAGCUCACUUUUAAGAAAUGAAUGGUAUUAAAUACACGAAGAGGGGAAAAUGAAUUCAUAUUUUCUAUUGAGACAGUGAGAAAUAUUAUUUCUGGUAAUGUACCUAAUAAAAGUUUUCAUGAUUCCUUUUGAAAGUAUUUACUCUUUUAUUACUCAGUUUUUCAUGUUUAUAAGUCAUCUGAUUUCUGCUAAAUAAAUACACUCACUGUUCCUACAGUGGUAGUAGCAUUGGUAUAUAAACUCACGAAACACUGGAUUAUAGAAUCCUGAACUACUGCUUUUGUAGGACAUUCAGGUCAGAUCAGGUCAGAUUGAUGGGUGCCUCUCUUCAUGUCAUUUUUCAGGAGAUUAAUGUUUAGCUGUGUUUUAUGGGAGUUUGAUUUCUAACUUUUCUUCAAGGAUGCUUACUUUCAGGAAGUCACAGAAAAGGAAAAGCAAUGAACUGUUAAUUGGCAGUGGAUGGGCUUCUCAAUCAAAUGAGUCAACCAUUUUGGACAAAGAACUUUAAAAAUAGCAAAAUUUUUACAAGUUAAUUUGUAUCAAUAUAUAUUUGACAAAAAGGAAAUUUCCACAUGAAUAGGAAGGAUAGGAUAAAUCAAAGGAAAAUGGGGCAUUGAAUAACCUACAAACAUGAUAAAUUUCAGUUGAAAUAGCAAUGAAAUGAAAAUAUUAUGAGGUAGCGUUAUAUAUGUUGGUUGGAGUUGAGAAAGAAUACCGCGGAGCAUCAAAGACAUGGUGAAGAAACAGACAAAACAUGACAAAAUACAAGGUGUAAAAUAUUUAAAGGGACUUGUCAUUAUUCUGCUCACCCUUAGCUGAAAGAUAAAAAGAAGAAAUAGCCAUUUAAACUACAAAUGAAAGCACAACAUCAGGAAAAGGAAAGGGCAAUGAUUUGAAAUCUUUUCGUUGUUCAUUUUCCCUUAAACGUGACCCACAUUCCUAAGAAUUGGAAUCAAAGGUUUCCAAAUGCCAUGUAAUCCAUGAAAGGCGAUGCUGUUUUUUUAUAUGGCUUCAUAUUUUGUGCCAAAGGAUUUAGGAGAGGAAAGGAAAUAAUGAGAGAACAUAGAGUAGAACUUCCUCUGGUAUAAGUUAUGACCAUCAUUGAUCUUGCCUUGGGCCUUCCUGCAUUUUCACCAUAAAAGACCAAGUUGCUCACAUAUAUGGGAGAAGUAUCCAAAAUGUAAUGGAAAAGUGUGCAGAAAAGUAUCCCUCUGACAAAAACUGUUAUCUGUUGCCAUAGUCCUAUGAAGUCUGCUUGAUGCAUUGACUAAAUGUCUUCCUAAAUUCCACUCAAUCUGUCAACCAAAAUGUAAUUGAAAAUAUGAUUAUAAAAAGGGAUGGUAAACUUUGAAUAGUUAUUCAACUAUAUUAGUGCCUUAUUAACAUAUUUUGGAUUUAUCCUAGGAUAAUACCAUCUCUUUUCAUUCAUAUUCAUAUAAAAAAUUCUGAACUGAGAUAUGUAUUGUACACAAACUUUCCUUAAAUGGUACUGUUCUUGUGCAAACAUUGAAACAGCAUAGCAGUUUUUCGUAUUAACAAUUGUUUGAAUAAAAAAUGAAAAAGAAUAAAAAAUAUUUAAUGUAGAUGGGAAAAAAUUGAGGAACAUAUGAUGAAGUACUUGUAAAAUUAGCAACACUUGGUUAAUACGAUAAAGAACACUUAAACAGUGAGACCAGUGUCAUCUUUCACCAGUGGAUGACAUCCGAAUUUAUACAUUCUUUGACAGUGAGAUGGAGGGAGAAACUUUAUUCCACAAACUUGGAAUCCUCUUUUCUUUUCAGGUUUGGGGAGGUAUCAAUAGCAUAGUAAUGGCCCCUUCAACCUGGAUACUUGAAAAGGUCCUAAGGUCAUGGGCAGUUUCCGGAAAAAUACAUAGAAUGUGAAAAUCCUGUGCCUAUUAGUCUGAACCCAUUUAGUCUACAAAUUCACAAUACAAAUGUGGCAAGUCUCUGGAAGGUAAAGAAAGCCAGUGUUGUAGGGAAGGAAAGGUAUGGAUUUAAAAAGAUGUAAUGGGAGUUCCUGUCGUGCCUCAGCAGUUAAGGAACCUGGCUAGUAUCCAUGAGGACGCACGUUCAAUCCCUGACCUCUCUCAGUGGGUUAAGGAUCUGGCGUUGCCAUGAACUGUGGUGUAGGUCGCAGAAAUGAUUCAGAUCUGGUGUUGCUAUGGCUAUGGCGUAGGCUGGCACCUGCAGCUCUGAUUUGACCCCUAGCCUGGAAACCUCCAUAAGCAGCGGGUGUGGCCCUAAAAACCUAAAAGGAAAAAAAAAAAGAUGCAAUGGGAAUUGAUGGGACACUGGGGAAAAGAGUGGAAAUAAGAGAAUAAGGAGGAAGUUCAUAUCCAAAAAUUGGGUAGAGAAGAACGGACAUGCAGGAGAGGAGGAACCAAUGGGUAGCAUAAUGAUAAAAAAA